GUGCUAGAUUCCGCAGCACAUUUACUGAAUUGUAAUGCUACAGAGAAGACAAAAAUGGCCCUUGUGCAAGGAACACAUGCAAAUUUGUGAAGCAUUCCAUAUUUUU